rnacentral:rRNA from 1 species
GAGUUUGAUCAUGGCUCAGAACGAACGCUGGCGGCAUGCCUAACACAUGCAAGUCGAACGAGAUCUUCGGAUCUAGUGGCGCACGGGUGCGUAACGCGUGGGAAUCUGCCCUUGGGUGCGGAAUAACUUCUCGAAAGGGAUGCUAAUACCGCAUAAUGUCGUAAGACCAAAGAUUUAUCGCCCAAGGAUGAGCCCGCGUAAGAUUAGCUAGUUGGUGGGGUAAAAGCCUACCAAGGCGACGAUCUUUAGCUGGUCUGAGAGGAUGAUCAGCCACACUGGGACUGAGACACGGCCCAGACUCCUACGGGAGGCAGCAGUGGGGAAUAUUGGACAAUGGGCGAAAGCCUGAUCCAGCAAUGCCGCGUGAGUGAUGAAGGCCCUAGGGUUGUAAAGCUCUUUUACCCGGGAUGAUAAUGACAGUACCGGGAGAAUAAGCUCCGGCUAACUCCGUGCCAGCCGCCGCGGUAAC